UGGAGGGUUAGCUCAGUUGGGAGAGCGUCUGCCUUACAAGCAGAGGGUCACAGGUUCGAGCCCUGUACCCUCCAU
rnacentral:tRNA from 1 species